rnacentral:rRNA from 1 species
UACGAAGGGUGCAAGCGUUAAUCGGAAUUACUGGGCGUAAAGCGUGCGCAGGCGGUUGUGCAAGACAGAUGUGAAAUCCCCGGGCUCAACCUGGGAAUUGCAUUUGUGACUGCACGGCUAGAGUGUGUCAGAGGGGGGUAGAAUUCCACGUGUAGCAGUGAAAUGCGUAGAGAUGUGGAGGAAUACCGAUGGCGAAGGCAGCCCCCCUGGGAUAACACUGACGCUCAUGCACGAAAGCGUGGGGAGCAAACAGG